CGCGAUGAUGCGCAACCUUUUCCCUUCCUCACCAGUAUUUCAGUCGACACAGGAAAACAAUAGAAGUGGUGUAGGGUCCUACUGUCCCUCUUCAAAUGACACUCACUUCCUCUUUUUAAAUACAAACAAUUCACAUAGCGGCAGUGUAAUCCUAUUUUAAUUGACACUUUCCUUUUCCCAUUUACUCCCGGAGUAAAUUUUGUCGACUACCAGCUUUUUUUUUAUUGCGAAACGAGUCUCUUCUGGACUGCCAGUUUCGUCUUACAAGCGAGUCUUUUAGACUACCAGCUUUUUUUUUUUAUUGCGAAACGAGUCUCUUCUGGACUGCCAGUUUCGUCUUACAAGCGAGUCUUUUUUUUAAACUGCCAGUCCCUACAGGACGAGUUUUUCCCUUAGAAAAGUGUCAAUCUAAAAGACGAUUAUUCGCGAUGUGUCUUUGAGUGUUAAUAUUCACCUGGUUAUGAUGAUAUAAGUGCCGGUCAGAGAUUCCUCCUCGUUCCCCAGGAUCGUGGACCUCUUACUAAGAACGCUGGCCAACCCCGAAUUCACGUAGUUGGUCUUUUCUCCUUCAUAGGAAAGAGGCUGUCGACAGACUUCAGCGCGGGCUCUCCACGAUGUCAGGAAACGACGAGGUCACUCCGUUGGAGCAUAAAAUUAGUUAUAAUUCGAUGUCCUAAAUCCGGGCUCGAAGGACCAAUUAAUUGUCAAGAGUUUAUUUUUAAUAAGACAUUCUUCAGGCUGAAUAAAGACACUCAAACAGUUAGAAUGUAAUAACAUUAACGUGCACGGGUGAGCACUCUGACGAGACUCACACCGAGUGCAGGCGAUGGCUCUUUAUUUAUAGUUUACAUCGUGUAUGCAAAUACGUCACAUUUCCUCUUUUACAAAUUCCUUUAAACCAACAGUUGUAUAUGUGCGUGUGUGUCUGCUUCUUUCUAAAAGAUGUGGCGCUGACUUAAUCUUUUGUGGUUAGGGAGUCGCGCAUCUGUUUUCCUGUUGUGGUUUAGGUGCCUCAUCCGUUUUCUAUUGUAGUCUGGGUGACCCGCAUCUGUUUCCUGCUUAAACUAUA
ensembl:lncRNA